rnacentral:rRNA from 1 species
GACGAACGCUGGCGGCGUGCUUAACACAUGCAAGUCGAACGGAAAGGCCCUGCUUUUGUUGUGUUCUCGAUUGGCGAACGUGUGUGUAACACGUGUGUAACCUUCCCUUUACUUUGUGAUAUCUUCUGGAAACUGGGGCUAAUACCGGAUAGGAUCUCCUGCUGCAUGGUGUGUGUUGGUAAGUUUCGGCGGUUGGGGAUGUACUCGCGGCUUAUCAGCUUGUUGGUGGGGUAGUGGCUUACCAAGGCUUUGACGGGUAGGCGGCCUGAGAGGGUGACCGGGGAAAAGGGGACUGAGAGAGGGAACAGAAGGGAAGGGGAGGAAGGAGGGGGGAAGAGUGCAAAAUGGGGGGAAGGGAGAUGAAGAAAGGCAGGGAGCGGGAAGAAGGGAUACGGGUUGAAAAAAGAAUUAGAAUGUGAAGAAGAGUGAGUGACGGUAAUGGGUAAAGAAGCACCGGCUAACUACGUG